UGCUGCUUGAACAGCUCCUUCAGGGGCUCUGCCAGUGAGGGUGGGGGCGCGAUCUGUGGUCACAGGAGAGACGGGCUCACCAGGGGCCGGGAGCUGCCCCAGCCCCACUCACCCUGAGGACCAUAGUCCCAUGAUACCAAGCCAGGAGGCCGCAGCAGCUGGACGCUUUGUCCCUGAGAGCAGGUGAGUGAGCCCCCCUCCCCCGAGGGAGUUGCAGGCACCUGUGAAGAGGGCAGGGGAGGAGGCAAGGGAAGCCAAGAACCAGGUGUCUGCACCACUACCGUGGUACAGUGAGGGGACAGAGGACUGGCAGGGUCCUCUGUUUACCACAGGCUUCACGCACCCCAAGUGAUAUGAGGCCCACUGGGAUGCCGCUGCCCAGAGGCAACACAGACAGGACAGUGGGCCUGCCCAUCUCCAGGGUGUAGGGCUCGCCCGGCUACCUUGGAAGAGACAUCGCCAGGCCAGAGGAGCCCACGGAUGCCAGGGGCGACCCCCCAGGGAGAAGCCAGUGCUUCUGAGUCACACAGGAAACGCGCAGCCAUGACCACGGGCUGGAGGGGGCAGGAGGGAGGAACAGCCCCCAGCUGCAGACAGACUGCACCUGAGGCCCACACUGAGGCCCUGCCAUGGCUCAUUUGGGAUCUUAGUUCCCUGACUAGGGGUGGAACUCGUGCCUCCUGCAGAGGAAGUGUGGAGUCCUAAGCACUAGACCUCCAGGCAAGUCUUGGAAUAACGUAUUUUUUAACUGGGGUGUAGUUAAUGUUUUACACUCUUUUUAUUGAUGUGGACCUUUUUUAAAGUCUUUGUUGAAUUUGUUAAGAUUUGCUUCUGUGUGUGUUUUUCUAGGCUGUGAGGCAUGUGGAAUCUUCACUCCCUGACCAGGGGCUGAAGUGGUGUCCCCUGCACUGGAAAGCAAAAUCUUAACAGACCACCAAGCAAGUCCCCUAUUUGAUAUGUCUGUCUUGACGAACAAGUGCAGGUUGUUCACAGACACUACUACUGCACACCCAACAGCGACCAGACAGUGUUCAGGUGCAUCAGGAAACCACUGCUCUGUUGCAGUCCUCACUCACUCCGGUGGCCUCCCCGAGAUGGCUGGCAGACAGGACACAGAGAGCAGUAGCUGCGUUUCCACUGCAGGGGCUCCCCUGCCCUCUGAUGAAUCACCACCGUGGACAACCCUGGGGCCAGAGGCUGGGCUCCAGGGCUGUGUCCUUGCUGUCUGCCAGCCGAGGGAAGGCCAGCCACCCCAGCCGCUGGAGGCCACCAUGUUCCCAGUGCUAUAGUCCCUCCCUGUAAGACUGGAAGUGCAGGCCAGUCCCCUUUACAUGGAGAAAGGGUCUCUGCUGUAGGCACCCUUGUCCACCUGGUACCGUCCAGGGUCACUUCCCAUCUCCUGGUCUUCCAGCUCCCCUCUGCAGAGGCCCCCUGUCCUGAGGCCCUGUUGCACGUAUACCUGCCCACUGCCCCGGGGAUAUUUUUAGCAAAUCCUUUGAUAUUUCAUGAAUUUCUCAGUCUAUUUCUCUAAAAGGGCUCUUAAGAAAGAAAAACAAAACCCCUCUCAUCUUCCCUAAAAAGUUACCUAAUUCCUGACCUCAGCACUUCGGUGUCCACAGGAGCUUUGGCAUCUCGAGCCCAGAACCCUUCCCAACCUCUCCUGGCACCCACGUGUUAUUGUCCCGUUAUGUCCUUCCCCCCAGCCGAGCCACCACAAAAGACCAGAUGUCACAUGUCAUUACACUUGCCUCCCGUCUCUAGACAGGGGCCCUUUCAGGACAUUGUGGUGUGGACGUGGCCAGACCCUCACCUACACAUGUGUCUCCAGUGUUGGACCUGAGGGCUGGUGCCCCAGGUGCUCACAGCUCCUGGGCUGGUCACACGGGUCACCCUGUGUGACUGCACCCGUCCAACGUGCCUGGUCUGACAGCACAGGAAAGAGAGAAAUCAAGAAGCUGCAGCAGGCCCACCCGGGGGUCUGUGGGGAGGCACCUACCU